AAAUGAAUUGACGGGGGCCCGCACAAGCGGUGGAGCAUGUGGUUUAAUUCGACGCAACGCGCAGAACCUUACCAGGGUUUGACAUCCUGUGCUCGGCCUGGAAACAGGCUUUCCCCGCAAGGGGCGCAGAGACAGGUGCUGCAUGGCUGUCGUCAGCUCGUGUCGUGAGAUGUUGGGUUAAGUCCCGCAACGAGCGCAACCCUCGCCUUUAGUUGCCAUCAUUCAGUUGGGCACUCUAGAGGGACCGCCGGCGACAAGCCGGAGGAAGGUGGGGAUGACGUCAAGUCCUCAUGGCCCUUACACCCUGGGCUACACACGUGCUACAAUGGCGGUGACAAUGGGCAGCUACUUCGCGAGAAGCGGCUAAUCCCAAAAAACCGUCCCAGUUCAGAUUGCACUCUGCAACUCGAGUGCAUGAAGGUGGAAUCGCUAGUAAUCGCAGAACAGCAGGCUGCGGUGAAUACGUUCCCGGGCCUUGUACACACCGCCCGU
rnacentral:rRNA from 1 species